UACGUAGGGAGCAAGCGUUGUCCGGAAUCAUUGGGCGUAAAGCGCGCGUAGGUGGCCUCAUAAGUCCGCUGUGAAAGUCAAAGGCUCAACCUUUGAAAGCCGGUGGAUACUGUCGGGCUCGAGUCCGGAAGAGGCGAGUGGAAUUCCUGGUGUAGCGGUGGAAUGCGCAGAUAUCAGGAGGAACACCGAUGGCGAAGGCAGCUCGCUGGGACGGUACUGACGCUGAGGCGCGAAAGCGUGGGGAGCGAACAGG
rnacentral:rRNA from 1 species